rnacentral:rRNA from 1 species
UACGGAAGGCAGCAGUGGGGAAUAUUGCACAAUGGGCGCAAGCCUGAUGCAGCCAUGCCGCGUGUAUGAAGAAGGCCUUCGGGUUGUAAAGUACUUUCAGUCGUGAGGAAGGUGUUAAGGUUAAUAACCUUAGCAAUUGACGUUAGCGACAGAAGAAGCACCGGCUAACUCCGUGCCAGCAGCCGCGGUAAUACGGAGGGUGCGAGCGUUAAUCGGAAUUACUGGGCGUAAAGGGCACGCAGGCGGUUAAUUAAGUUGGAUGUGAAAUCCCCGGGCUUAACCUGGGAAUGGCAUUCAAGACUGGUUAGCUAGAGUCUUGUAGAGGGGGUAGAAUUCCGAUGUGUAGCGGUGAAAUGCGUAGAGAUGUGGAGGAAUACCGGUGGCGAAGGCGGCCCCUGGACAAGACUGACGCUCAUGUGCGAAAGCGUGGGGAGCAAACAGGAUUAGAUACC